ensembl:lncRNA
GGCUCUGAGCAGCUUAGUUUUGCUGUGUUGAAAUGAUCGUACAGAACUACAGUGCCAUAUUAGCUAGCAAGACAGGAGGUGCUUAAUGCUGUUCUUUCAAAACCCAUUAAGUCCACCAAAGCCUUCCUUGCUCAGCAGACUCAUUUCCAGCUGCUUCACCCUGCAGCAUUGCACAAGAACUGCCUCACACGGUCACCUUUUGUGUCCAACUCUGCUCUGAGGUCAGGCAGACCAGAUGACAGCUCCCUACAUCAGCGCUGGCACAUGGUCAGGAUCAGUCUGCUUUAGUGGCGUGCUCUUUGGGUCAUAUUACAGCACACCAUAAUUUUGCAGUAACCACUGUUAAGGAGUACCAUGCUACUUACCUCUACAGGCAGCAAUGCAGAGCUCUGGCACAUCGUGGCUUUUGAAAAAAGUGGAUAUUCAUGAAGUGUUUGAGAAGAACCAUAAAUCCAUGCUUCAUGAAGAAUCUCUUACGGGGGCUCUCUCAUGUUAUGAGACAGACAAGGACAAAGCCGGACCACUGGCUGUUUUGAAGCCAUGUGUGUACUGUGACAGGCUGUACAACAGGUGGUUACUCAUGCCACAUUUUGAUGCUGACAUCAGCAAGCUGUCAAAGCUAUCAAGGGCACUGGAACUGAUUGAUAACAGCAGAACCUCAUUUCUAUACCAGAAUGUCUCUGCUUUACUGUCUACAGCAGGAGGAAAAGAAUCAGCACCACUACCUCACUGGCCACCCUGAUGGGGAAGACUCAUCUGACCUCUCUUCACUUCUCUUUCAUUUCUUCCUGCCGUAACAAACCCUUGCCACCAAAAUGUAGCUGGAGAGGUGGAUCAGAAGCGGCUGUGAGGGAAGGAGCAGUUUAGGAACACUGGGUGCUGUAAGUGAAAGCAAAAUCUCCCAGAGGAACCCACCUUUGAACUUCCAAUCAUACACAAGGGCUUAUGCCUUGGCAUUUGACUUGUUGAGUUGCGAGGAAGAUGACAAAGAAACCUGCAGUGAAAAUUAGUCUGCACACCUCAAAUUGUUCAGCUCUUGACUGUAGGAAGAAGAACGUGACAAAGUUUUAAAUCUUGUGAUCAGAUUUAUCUGAGCAGCGAUGGGACUCACCCAGAGGGUGGUGUUGAAUUGAGCUCUGCACCCACUGCCACUGAGCUCCCUGCCAUGGCUUCCCUGGCACCCUGGGGUCUGAGGACAGCAGUGCUGCUGCUGCCAGGCUCACAGCAGAGAUAUUUGCUUCCAGCUGAGGACCUGAAAAGCAGUAACGCAUGAAAUCAGUCUGCUGUUUCCUUUAUGAUUUUCCUAUUGUUACCAUCAUUGAAAGAGAAUGGGCUAGUACCCCUGGACAAAAAAAUGCUGCAAAAUCAAAACCUGGUAGGUUUGCUCUAUUGGAAAACUUUUGGCAGACUGUCAAAUAUAUCACUAGAAACUGUGCUUUCUUCAUGCUAGCCAGUAAGAGAUCAAUAACAGUCCUAAUCAUUGAAGUACGGGGAGAUCAUAAGAGAGCAGUAAAAGAAGAGAAAUUGGAUAAAUUUUGGAACCUGCCCACACACAGGUGGAAGGGCCUUUCUAUGGGAGCUGUGAGGAGAAAACAACCCUUUUCUAUGUUGCAAAUGCAACCUCAGGCCUGUGUUAACUUUCAUACCUGAUCUAUUGCCACACCACAGAGCUGGUGAGGGAAUGAUGAGCAGAUCUGGGCUGCCCUGCUCUCCCUGUAAGAAGGAAUAAAACCAGCCAGAGCAUGCUCCUGCACUGUACUGCCAAAGCAGAUCAUGUAAAAUCUCCUACACUCCAGACUCUGCUACACCCAUGUUCCUUUUUAUACAGACAUUUUCUGAUAAAUGAAGCAACAGAUGUUUAUGCACUGUCAAACAUUAAAGAAGACAGAAGAAUUAGGUAUUCUGCUUGAAAAAAAUAUUUUGUUUGAGGAUUAUUACAGAUUAUUAAGAGAUCAAUGCAAACAGGAAAUGAUUCAUACCAUUCAUACCAGUACUUUGGAAUCUCCUGCCACUUAAAGGAGUGAACAUACUGUGUCUCAUCAGCUCCGGUUAUGAUGGAGGUGAUUUAAACCCUUAUUAUCUUAAUAAAACAACUGCGAAUGCAAAAUAUGAAAGGAUAAAAUAUAUACAAGAUCUGCAAAAGUGCUUCCAAAGCUCAGCACGUUUCAAGGACCUGAGGGGGAAAGCUCAAAUGACAAAUGGAAACCAAAGGCUUUUAAGUCCUUACCAAAUGCUAAAUAUCAAUUUGUAAUUGAGAUACUUUGGGAAAAAAACACUUGACACAGUGGAUGGUGCAUGAUGGAACAAAAGAUCUCGAAGGCAGAAUACAAGGCCCUGGGGACUCCAGUAGUAUAUCCAAAGACUAAAUGACAGAUCUGAAAACUGUAACUUCAUUCAGGCUACCAGAUGCACUACAGAGAGUCGAGCAGAUGACACCAGAGGAUCAAGGGGAAGUAUUACGGUGAUGCAGAAAACCCAGUGGAAAAGUAAUCUUUUCAAACCCAAGGGGAGCAAAAAAAAACUAUACGUAUUGUAUAACAGAGGAGGAUUAGGUGAAAGACAAGGAGUAGUUCUCUCAUGCCAGGAAAAUUCAGUCAUCUAAUUCAAACUCCUGAUCCAGAAGAAAAUAUUUUGGUUUGUUUGCAAGUGUUUUGGAUGACAGAAGAUUAUACUUGAUGUUGCCAUCCAGGACCUUAAGUCUGAUCACUGUUUGGAGACAGAUAUCAUCAAGAAAAACUCAGUCUGCUGUGGGGAAAAUUCUUGCCUGCUUAAGUAGUGCUAGUUUUACCUUUCAGACAUUUUAGAAGUUUUGUGAUUUUGCAGAAAUGAAUACACUGUUCUAAUGAAAGUCUGAAGGCAUGUGUGCAGUGGAAACAGAAAUAAUUGGAAAUUGGUACAUCAGCUUGGUAUUAAAGAUGCUUGCUCAUGUACUGGCACUGUUUUGUAUAAAGUGAGAGGUAAGAAAAAGGAUUAUGAAUAUUAACUGUAGAGUCCCAUUGCAAUUUUUAAUAAAUAAGGUUGUAUUAGCAGGAGAAUAAAGGUUGUAUUAGCAUUAUUACAUUUUGAAUACGUCCACUUACAUUUUGGCUUCAGUUUCGAAUAGAGAUUGUAGUUCGCCUGGCUCUCUUUUCUAAACUGUUGUUCAGUUAGACAUGCUACAUAAUUCCUGGCUUCUUUGUCAAAGAACUGCACUUCAGUACUUCAGUAGUUUUUAAGAGCCUCCUCUGAAGUUUACAGAUAAUUUCAGUAGAAAGAGUUUAUACAAAUAUGCUAUAAAAUCAUUAUAAUUGCUUAUGAUAGGCAUGGUAGGAAGAAAUACUGACUACCUACACCUCUUAGAGUUGCAACACAUUAUCACCAUGCUUUGAUAUAAAGUUUUGUAAUAAUGCUAUAUUCUAAAUGUAAGAGGAAUGUGCAAUGAAGUUACUGAACCAUGCUACUACAAAUGCUUCCAAGACCCUGAAAUAGCGCACUUUUUAUAAGUGAAGAUCUAAUGAUGCAUGCUGUUUGUUAUUGUGCUGCUAUGGCCACCUAUUGAGGAAAGUGCUUAAGAG